rnacentral:rRNA from 1 species
AGAGUUUGAUCAUGGCUCAGGAUUAACGCUGGCGGCAUGCCUAAUACAUGCAAGUCGAAUGGGAAAGCUUGCUUUUCCAUGGCGAACGGGUGAGUAACACGUAGGUAACCUACCUUAAGGACGAGGAUAACCUUUGGAAACGAAGGAUAAUACUGGAUAGGACAUUACAAAGCACAUGCUUAAAUGUUUAAAGGAGCAAUCCACCAUAAGAGGGGCCUGCGGCGCAUUAGCUAGUUGGUGAGGUAAAGGCCCACCAAGGCGAUGAUGCGUAGCUGGACUGAGAGGUUGAACAGCCACAAUGGGACUGAGAACGGCCCAUACUCCUACGGGAGGCAGCAGUAGGGAAUUUUCGGCAAUGGACGAAAGUCUGAACCCGAGCAAUGCCGCGUGAACGAAGAAGUAUUUCGGUAUGUAAAGUUCUUUUAUCAGGGAAGAAAAACAAAUUGACUGAACCUGAUGAAUAAGCUCCGGCUAACUACGUGCCAGCCGCCGC